GAUGAACGCUAGCGGCAGGCCUAAUACAUGCAAGACGAACGGUAAGUUGAGUAGCAAUACUUAGCCAAGAGUGUCGUACGGGUGCGUAACACGUAUGCAACCUACCCUAUACAGGAGGAUAGCCUAGGGAAACCUGGAUUAACCCUUCAUAGUAUUAUUGGAUGGCAUCAUUUGAUAAUUAAAACUGAGGUGGUAUAGGAUGGGCAUGCGUCUGAUUAGUUAGUUGGCGGGGUAAUGGCCCACCAAGACGAUGAUCAGUAGGGGUUCUGAGAGGAAGAUCCCCCACACUGGCACUGAGAUACGGGCCAGACUCCUACGGGAGGCAGCAGUAGGGAAUAUUGGGUCAAUGGAUGCAAGUCUGAACCAGCCAUGCCGCGUGCAGGAAGAAGGCCUUCUGGGUUGUAAACUGCUUUUGCCAGGGGAUAAAAUUUCCAUGCGUGGAAACUGAAGGUACCUGGUGAAUAAGCCACGGGCUAACUACGUGCCAGCAGCCGCGGUAAUC
rnacentral:rRNA from 1 species